rnacentral:rRNA from 1 species
UACAGAGGUCCCAAGCGUUGUUCGGCUUCACUGGGCGUAAAGGGUGCGUAGGUGGUGAGGUAAGUCGGAUGUGAAAGCUCGGAGCUCAACUCCGAAAUGGCAUUGGAAACUACCUUGCUCGAGGGUUGGAGGGGGGACUGGAAUGCUUGGUGUAGCAGUGAAAUGCGUAGAUAUCAAGCGGAACACCAGUGGCGAAGGCGAGUCCCUGGACAACUCCUGACACUGAGGCACGAAAGCUAGGGGAGCAAACAGG